rnacentral:rRNA from 1 species
GACGAACGCUGGCGGCGUGCUUAACACAUGCAAGUCGAACGGUAAGGCCCUUCGGGGUACACGAGUGGCGAACGGGUGAGUAACACGUGGGUGAUCUGCCCUGCACUUCGGGAUAAGCCUGGGAAACUGGGUCUAAUACCGGAUAGGACCACUGCCUGCAUGGGUGGUGGUGGAAAGCUUUUGCGGUGUGGGAUGGGCCCGCGGCCUAUCAGCUUGUUGGUGGGGUGAUGGCCUACCAAGGCGACGACGGGUAGCCGGCCUGAGAGGGUAACCGGCCACACUGGGACUGAGAUACGGCCCAGAGUCCUACGGGAGGCAGCAGUGGGGAAUAUUGCACAGUGGGCGCAAGCCUGAUGCAGCGACGCCGCGUGAGGGAUGACGGCCUUCGGGUUGUAAACCUCUUUCAGCACCGACGAAGCGCAAGUGACGGUAGGUGCGGAAGAAGGACCGGCCAACUACGUGCCAGCCGCCGCAGUAA